AGUGAACGCUGGCGGUAGGCCUAACACAUGCAAGUCGAACGGCAGCACAGUAAGAGCUUGCUCUUCCGGGUGGCGAGUGGCGGACGGGUGAGGAAUACAUCGGAAUCUACUUUUUCGUGGGGGAUAACGUAGGGAAACUUACGCUAAUACCGCAUACGACCUACGGGUGAAAGCAGGGGAUCUUCGGACCUUGCGCGAUUGAAUGAGCCGAUGUCGGAUUAGCUAGUUGGCGGGGUAAAGGCCCACCAAGGCGACGAUCCGUAGCUGGUCUGAGAGGAUGAUCAGCCACACUGGAACGGAGACACGGUCCAGACUCCUACGGGAGGCAGCAGUGGGGAAUAGUGGACAAUGGGCGCAAGCCUGAUCCAGCCAUACCGCGUGGGUGAAGAAGGCCUUCGGGUUGUAAAGCCCUUUUGUUGGGAAAGAAAAGCAGCAGGUUAAUACCCCGCUGUUCUGACGGUACCCAAAGAAUAAGCACCGGCUAACUUCGUG
rnacentral:rRNA from 1 species